rnacentral:lncRNA from 1 species
AUUUGAAUUAAAUUUUAACACUGUUGGAAGAAAGAUGGAAGAAAAUCUUCUUUCUUCACAGGGGAAGCAGAUUUUGCUUCUUAUCAUAAGAAGAACCAAGCAGUGCCUCUGACCUGGGCCAGUGGUCUCCUCUCAGUGGUGGCCAUUCAGACCUCCAAACACAGGGAAUCCAAGUGACUGCUCAGGAAUGGCUGCACUAAGAAUCAUCUGAAACCACCUAGCAAGGGAGUAGCCUCCAACAGUGGCCAUAAACGGAUGCUUAACUAGCAAAGUCAAGAUCAAAUUGUACCAUAUUUUCUCCAAAUGCUGUCCCAGUCUUAAGGGCACUGGCAGCUUGGCUCCCCUUACAAAAACCUCCACAUGUGCAAGAAGCAGAACUCAAGCUGCCUAUCAGAUGUUUUUGACCAGCCUUUUGUCCUCUGCAACUCAGUGGGAAGCAGCAC